rnacentral:rRNA from 1 species
UACGUAGGGGGCGAGCGUUGUCCGGAUUCAUUGGGCGUAAAGCGCUUUAAGGCGGUUCGCUAAGUCGGGUGUGAAACCUCCAGGCUCAACCUGGAGACGCCACUCGAUACUGGCGUGACUAGAGUUCGGUAGGGGACCACGGAAUUCCUGGUGUAGCGGUGAAAUGCGCAGAUAUCAGGAGGAACACCAGUGGCGAAGGCGGUGGUCUGGGCCGAUACUGACGCUGUAGAGCGAAAGCGUGGGGGAGCGAACAGG